UACAGAGGUCUCGAGCGUUGUUCGGAUUCAUUGGGCGUAAAGGGUGCGUAGGUGGGCUCUUAAGUCGGUGGUGAAAUCCUGGAGCUCAACUCCAGAACUGCCUCCGAUACUGGGAGUCUUCGAGUCCGGGAGAGGUGAGUGGAACUGCGAGUGUAGAGGUGAAAUUCGUAGAUAUUCGCAAGGACACCAGUGGCGAAGGCGGCUCACUGGCCCGGUACUGACGCUGAGGUGCGAAAGCGUGGGGAGCAAACAGG
rnacentral:rRNA from 1 species